AUUGAACGCUGGCGGAAUGCUUUACACAUGCAAGUCGAACGGCAGCACGGGAGCUUGCUCCUGGUGGCGAGUGGCGAACGGGUGAGUAACAUAUCGGAACGUACCCCGUCGUGGGGGAUAACUCUCCGAAAGGAGUGCUAAUACCGCAUACGACCUGAGGGUGAAAGCGGGGGACCAGUAAUGGCCUCGCGCGAUUGGAGCGGCCGAUGUCGGAUUAGGUAGUUGGUGAGGUAAAGGCUCACCAAGCCAA
rnacentral:rRNA from 1 species